UACGUAGGGCGCAAGCGUUGUCCGGAAUUAUUGGGCGUAAAGAGCUCGUAGGCGGUCUGUCGCGUCCGUUGUGAAAACUCGAGGCUCAACCUCGGGCUUGCAGUGGAUACGGGCAGACUAGAGUGCGGUAGGGGAGACUGGAAUUCCUGGUGUAGCGGUGGAAUGCGCAGAUAUCAGGAGGAACACCGAUGGCGAAGGCGGAUCUCUGGGCCGAUACUGACGCUGAGGAGCGAAAGCGUGGGGAGCGAACAGG
rnacentral:rRNA from 1 species